GCUCGAGGAUGGGACUGCGGCCUAUCAGGCUGUUGGUGGUGUAACGGACCACCAAACCUACGACGGGUAUGGGCAAUGGGAGUUGGAGCCCAGAGAUGGGGACUGAGACAAGGCCCCAGGCCCUACGGGGCGCAGCAGGCGCGAAAACUUCGCAAUGCGCGAAAGCGUGACGAGGGAACCCCAAGUGCCGUUGGUCUUUUGAUCGACGGCUUUUCGGGAGUCUAAGAAGCUUCCAGAAUAAGGGCUGGGCAAGACUGGUGCCAGCCGCCGCGGUAAUACCAGCAGCCCAAGUGGUGGUCGCGUUUAUUGGGCCUAAAGCGCUCGUAGCCGGGCUUGCAAGUCCCUUGUGAAAUCGGACGGCUCAACCGUUCGGCGUGCAAGGGAUACUGCCAGUCUUGGGAUCGGGAGAGGUCGGGGGUACUUCGGGGGUAGCGGUGAAAUGCUGUAAUCCCUGGGGGACCACCAGUGGCGAAGGCGCCCGACCAUAACGGAUCCGACGGUGAGGGGCGAAGGCUAGGGGAGCGAACGGGAUUAGAUACCCCGGUAGUCCUAGCAGUAAAGGAUGCGGGCUGGGUGUCAGGCGCCCUUCGAGAGCGCCUAGUGCCGUAGGGAAGCCGUUAAGCCCGCCGCCUGGGAAGUACGGUCGCAAGGCUGAAACUUAAAGAAAUUGGCGGGGGAGCACUACA
rnacentral:rRNA from 1 species